CACUGCGCAGGCUCAGUAUGUUUCUGCGUGUCAACAGUCUAGAACAUGCACAGUCGGAGCGAUCCUGAGGAGCAGUCGUUCUUUUCUUUGGCUCCACAAAAGCAUGUUAGAAGAGGAUUUGCAGAUCGGAAACUCAAACCAAAUGAUACAACAAGAUCUAAGUGAGCCACAUUAUUAUUCAUUCAUUCAGUACUGGAUAUUAUUGGCCUUUGAAUUGCAUUCAACAAUCUGAUAACUGGAUAGAAAUUGAGAGAUCGAGCAGCCCGUCCAAAAGCUUCCAAAAUCAUUCUGCUCUUCCUUGACCUUCUUGAACUGCUACAGUCCGUGUGGUGAAGCUCUUCGCAGAUUGCUGUUCGCUAAGGAGUUUCAGGAUUUUAGUUGGGAUUUUACAAACGUCUGUAAGGUCAACCUCAAUGUGCCACACUCCUGUGAAAGGAGUCCCAGCCUGUCUUUAUGACUCCAUACCUCCAUUUCAGCAACAUCCUUGGAAAUCUCAUCUGAAGUCUCUCCAACUUGAUAAUAUCCUUGCUAUAACAGGACAACCAGAACUGGGCACAGUACUCCAGAAGA